UACGUAGGGGGCUAGCGUUGUCCGGAUUUAUUGGGCGUAAAGAGCGUGUAGGCGGCCAGAUAGGUCUGCUGUGAAAACUCGAGGCUCAACCUCGAGCUGUCGGCGGAAACCAUUUGGCUAGAGUCCGGAAGAGGAGAGUGGAAUUCCUGGUGUAGCGGUGAAAUGCGCAGAUAAUCAGGAAGAACACCUAUGGCGAAGGCAGCUCUCUGGGACGGUACUGACGCUGAGACGCGAAAGCGUGGGGAGCGAACAGG
rnacentral:rRNA from 1 species